GAUGAACGCUGGCGGCGUGCCUAAUACAUGCAAGUCGAGCGAACAGAUAAGGAGCUUGCUCCUUUGACGUUAGCGGCGGACGGGUGAGUAACACGUGGAUAACCUACCUAUAAGACUGGGAUAACUUCGGGAAACCGGAGCUAAUACCGGAUAACAUAUUGAACCGCAUGGUUCAUUAGUGAAAGGCGGCUUUGCUGUCACUUAUAGAUGGAUCCGCGCCGUAUUAGCUAGUUGGUAAGGUAACGGCUUACCAAGGCAACGAUACGUAGCCGACCUGAGAGGGUGAUAGGCCACACUGGAACUGAGACACGGUCCAGACUCCUACGGGAGGCAGCAGUAGGGAAUCUUCCGCAAUGGGCGAAAGCCUGACGGAGCAACGCGGCGUGAGUGAUGAAGGUCUUCGGAUCGUAAAACUCUGUUAUCAGGGAAGAACAAAUGUGGAAGUAACUGUGCACAUCUUGACGGUAACUGAUCAGAAAGCCACGGCUAACUACGUG
rnacentral:rRNA from 1 species